GGAGUUGUGGCUCAAUGGUAGAGCACUUGUCUGGCAUGUUUGAGGCCCUGGGUUUGAUCCUCAGCACCA
rnacentral:tRNA from 1 species